UACGGACAUAUCAUAUAGAAAUACAGAUUUCCGUACGAUCACCGAAGUUAAGCAAAGAUGAACUUGGUCAGCACCUAGAUGGGUGACCGCUUGGGAAUACUAGAAGCUGUAAG